rnacentral:rRNA from 1 species
UGAGGAAUAUUGGUCGAUGGGGGCAACCCUGAACCAGCCAAGUCGCGUGAAGGAUGAAGGUCUUAUGGAUUGUAAACUUCUUUUACACGGGAAUAAAGCGGGGGACGUGUCCCUCUUUGCAUGUACCGUGUGAAUAAGGAUCGGCUAACUCCGUGCCAGCAGCCGCGGUAAUACGGAGGAUCCGAGCGUUAUCCGGAUUUAUUGGGUUUAAAGGGUGCGCAGGCGGGAUGUUAAGUCGGCGGUGAAAUUUUGCAGCUCAACUGUAAAAGUGCCUUCGAUACUGGCCUUCUUGAGUGUGGAUGAAGUAGGCGGAAUUUGUGGUGUAGCGGUGAAAUGCUUAGAUAUCACGAGGAACUCCGAUUGCGCAGGCAGCUUACUAAGCCACAACUGACGCUCAUGCACGAAGGCGUGGGGAUCAAACA